rnacentral:rRNA from 1 species
GACGAACGCUGGCGGCGUGCUUAACACAUGCAAGUCGAACGGAAAGGCCCUGCUUUUGUGGGGUGCUCGAGUGGCGAACGGGUGAGUAACACGUGAGUAACCUGCCCUUGACUUUGGGAUAACUUCAGGAAACUGGGGCUCAUACCGGAUAGGAGCUCCUGCUGCAUGGUGGGGGUUGGAAAGUUUCGGCGGUUGGGGAUGGACUCGCGGCUUAUCAGCUUGUUGGUGGGGUAGUGGCUUACCAAGGCUUUGACGGGUAGCCGGCCUGGGAGGGUGACCGGCCACAUUGGGACUGAGAUACGGCCCAGACUCCUACGGGAGGCAGCAGUGGGGAAUAUUGCACAAUGGGCGGAAGCCUGAUGCAGCAACGCCGCGUGGGGGAUGACGGCCUUGGGGUUGUAAACCGCUUUCGCCUGUGACGAAGCGUGAGUGACGGUAAUGGGUAAAGAAGCACCGGCUAACUACGUG